CCCCCCCUCUGGGUUCCAAAACAAAACAAAACAAAACAGAGGAAGAAAGAAGGUGUUGGGGUGGGAGAUGGGAAGUGGAGUCUCAGAAUCGUGAGUCUUGUUCGGCACAGAGAUUUGGUCUGAAGAACUCAAUUCCGACCAACUUCGGGUCGGACUACGUGUUCCAGAUUGUCCCAAAAGGUGAUUGGACGGCAAUAGCGGUGUCCUUGUCGACGAACAGCGUAAAGCUAUACUCGCCGGAGACAGCUCAAUACUACGGAGAAUUGAAAGGACACUCGGAUACAGUAACCAAAUAGAGUUUUCAACCAACUCUCCACACCUUCUUCACUCUUGCUUCCUCCGAUGGUACCAUCAGAUCUUGGGACACCGUUCUUUCCAGCAGGUAGCGUGUAUUGAUGCUGCUGAUAAUGGUCAAGAGGUCUUUAGCUUCUCCUUUGGAGGUUCUGCUGAUCAUCUUCUCGCUGCUGGAUGCAAACACCAGGUUUGUCUUUGGGACUGGAGAACUCUAAGCAAGUUGCUUGUCUUGAGGAAUCCCACAUGGACGAUGUCAC